rfam:Felis catus isolate Cinnamon breed Abyssinian chromosome C2, whole genome shotgun sequence.
GCCUGGGUGGCUCAGUCGGUUGAGUGUCUGACUUUGGCUCAGGUCAUGGUCUUGCAGUUUGUGAGUUUGAGCCCCACGUCGGGCU